UACGUAGGGGACUAGCGUUGUCCGGAUUUAUUGGGCGUAAAGAGCGUGUAGGCGGCCAGAUAGGUCCGUUGUGAAAACUCGAGGCUCAACCUCGAGACGCCGAUGGAAACCAUCUGGCUAGAGUCCGGAAGAGGAGAGUGGAAUUCCUGGUGUAGCGGUGAAAUGCGCAGAUAUCGGGAAGAACACCCGUGGCUAAGGCGGCUCUCUAGUACGGUACUGACGCUGAGACGCGAAAGCGUGGGGAGCGAACAGG
rnacentral:rRNA from 1 species